UUAAAAAGAUUCAAAUGCAUGAUUCUAAGCAUGGGCUCUGGGAUGAAGACAGAUGGACAGGCCUUGAAAGAGCUCUUCAAUCACAUCAGAUAACCUCUCACACAAAGACCAGACGGGCAAUUCUAGGAAAAAGGGCAAAGGAGUCUCCUGGCUUCCUGGAACAGAUUGGUGGAUAAACCCCCACCGCAACGUAAGAGGGAAGCCUGACCACAGAUGAAAACGGG